AGUGAACGCUGGCGGUAGGCCUAACACAUGCAAGUCGAACGGCAGCACAGUAAGAGCUUGCUCUUACGGGUGGCGAGUGGCGGACGGGUGAGGAAUACAUCGGAAUCUGCUUUUUCGUGGGGGAUAACGUAGGGAAACUUACGCUAAUACCGCAUACGACCUACGGGUGAAAGCAGGGGAUCUUCGGACCUUGCGCGAUUGAAUGAGCCGAUGUCGGAUUAGCUAGUUGGCGGGGUAAAGGCCCACCAAGGCGACGAUCCGUAGCUGGUCUGAGAGGAUGAUCAGCCACACUGGAACUAAGACACGGUCCAGACUCCUACGGGAGGCAGCAAUGGGGAAUAUUGGACAAUGGGCGCAAGCCUGAUCCAGCCAUACCGCGUGGGUGAAGAAGGCCUUCGGGUUGUAAAGCCCUUUUGUUGGGAAAGAAAAGCAGCAGGUUAAUACCCCGCUGUUCUGACGGUACCCAAAGAAUAAGCACCGGCUAACUUCGUG
rnacentral:rRNA from 1 species